rnacentral:piRNA from 1 species
UGGGGUUGUAGAUAUAGAAGA